AUCCACCCGGUUCUUAAAAGAUGGAUGCUGGUCAUCUGGAACAAAUUGCUCAUCCCGGAACAAAAGCACAUAUUGUGGCUUCAGUCUCUGUUUAGAAGACCACAGUCGUAGGAACAGCAAUGAUACUGUGUAGGACCCUCAAACUCCCAGGCCUCUGGUAGAGGACCCAAACAUAAAGACUGCCCACAGGAAAUCGGCACGAUGAAAACAAACACCAAAGUUGAGCAGAACAGCGUGCUUACGGAAGCCAUUACGGAAGCCAUUACAGAAGCCAUUCGCAUGUGAUCUAGUUCUAGUGCGACUGGUUUAAUGACACUUAGAGUGCUCUAAAUGUCUGAGGAUCCUGAUAUUUUCAGUGAAUAACAGAGAAUCG